CAGCCGCCACGGGAACACGAAGGGUGCAAGCGUUAAUCGGAAUUACUGGGCGUAAAGCGUGCGUAGGCGGUGAGUUAAGUCUGCUGUGAAAUCCCCGGGCUCAACCUGGGAAUGGCAGUGGAUACUGGCUCGCUAGAGUGUGUCAGAGGAUGGUGGAAUUCCCGGUGUAGCGGUGAAAUGCGUAGAGAUCGGGAGGAACAUCAGUGGCGAAGGCGGCCAUCUGGGACAACACUGACACUGAGGCACGAAAGCGUGGGGAGCAAACAGGAUUAGAUACCCCGGUAGUCCCUGUCUCUUAUAC
rnacentral:rRNA from 1 species